AAUGCUCAUCUCCACAAGUAAUAUUUACAUAUAUAAUAAUGCUUCAUCAAUACAAACCCAACUUAAUGAAAAUUACUAACUCAGGCAGCUCUACAAAGAGACCUUUUCUUUCCUUUUCAAAGGAAACCAAAUAUAAACCAGAAAUCUUAUGGUCUUUAACCACUAAUUUACAAGAGUCAAGAAUGAGGAGGAAAUGUAUUUACUCAUACAUUUCACAUGGUUAAUUCUUCACUGGCAUAGAAUAUUACGCUAUGACUGGUCUCCUCAUCAGCAGUUGGAAGCUGCAAGGGUCCUGGGUGAUUAUAACAUUUGGCACUAGGCACAAACACGAUCACUUAGUUCUGGAUUCAGAACAGAGCAUAAUUAUUUUGUGCAAGUAGAUCAAGUGCCAAGGAACAAGUUCUAAUGAGUGCAACGUUGCACUUACUAGAAAAUUAUAUUUCUAAUUUAUUACUAAGCGUAAUAUUGCAUUCAUUAGAAAAACAAUAAUAAUAAUAAUAGUCUGCGUGCUAUGCUCGAGAAUAACAAAAUUGAGAAUAUGGGCUCACAUUUAAACCUUCAUCCGAGCCAAUGAUAAGAUGCCACAAGCCUUUUUUCGUUUUCCUAUUUUUCUACAUUGGUGUGAAGUAAAACUUUGUAAUGAACAACAGACUAAAGUCAUUAUUAGAUAACUCAUUUAGAGAUUACCUCUCAACUAGAACCCCUUGUUGAUUUCCUUGAGAUGGCCUUAAAUCAGAAGCUAGGUUCCUUGUUGCGUCAUUGUCUGCAAAUCCCUGCUUACCAUCUUCCCCAAAAUCAUCUUUCAUCCAUCCAGGAAAGUUUCUUGAAAGGAGGUUGAUAUACUGCUCCAUAGCCACCUCAGGGCUCAUGUUCCCAAGUUGUUGCCACGCAUUCCACUUUGAGCGAGCAGAGAACUUCAAUGGCAUGGGUUGGGGCACAUGGCAAGGUCCUUCAAUUGCAACCUGGUAAAGUCCAUAAAACUUCAGCUUCAAAUCAGUGCUAAGACUCGAUAUAUUAUCAACAUUAUCUAUAGAACCAACAUACGCCACAGCAGCACCAAAAAGCCUCUCCAACUCGCUUCCUUCUACUCCUUCCCAAUCAUCAUCCUCCUCCUCAUCAAGCAACCCCUCCUUUGUACCACCAAUCCCACAAUUAACUUCACCCUCGUCCACACCCAAUUCCUCGUUUAUCAAAUCCAUCUCGAUUUCUCUCUUUUGACUUUUAUCAAUCGGGUAAUACUCGCAUUUGCAUGCAGCACCAUCUUCACUACCUUCCUCUGUUAAAUAAUCAAUAAUCUCAAUUUCUUCUUUGGGGAGUUGAUUAUUAGAAGUUUUUGCAUCUUCAAGUGAGUUACACGACCCGACACAUUCGCAGGAAAAUUCCUGUUGAGCAAGUUUAUUCUCUACUGAUUCGCUUAAUUCAUCAACUCCGAGAAUUUCCGAAACAAGCCCAAGUUUCCUUUCCUUCUCCCAAGCGAAAUCAUUAGACUCCGCUAGGAAACUAAGUUCAUGGUCAGGGUCAUGCACAUGGACAAUUCUCCUUUUAAAAUCAUGUCCAUGAUCAUCAGGUGUUGCUCCGGAGAGGAGCUUAGAGAGAAAGAAAGAGCAGAGAAAAGAAAAAGCAGCAGUUAAAAUGAAAUCAAGCAAAAACUCCAUGGCCAAGAGCAUAGUUUGUAUAUCAGAAGAAGACGAAGACGAAGACGACGACGAGGAGGAAUUUGCAGAGGAAGCAAGGGAUAUUCUAGUGGAGAAAUUUUCCUGUUGCCAAGUAAUGUGUCGG
rnacentral:misc_RNA from 1 species